rnacentral:rRNA from 1 species
UACGUAGGGUGCAAGCGUUAAUCGGAAUACUGGGCGUAAAGCGUGCGCAGGCGGUGAUGUAAGACAGUUGUGAAAUCCCCGGGCUCAACCUGGGAACUGCAUCUGUGACUGCAUCGCUGGAGUGCGGCAGAGGGGGAUGGAAUUCCGCGUGUAGCAGUGAAAUGCGUAGAUAUGCGGAGGAACACCGAUGGCGAAGGCAAUCCCCUGGGCCUGCACUGACGCUCAUGCACGAAAGCGUGGGGAGCAACAGG